UACUCCUACGGGAGGCAGCAGUGGGGAAUCUUAGACAAUGGGCGCAAGCCUGAUCUAGCCAUGCCGCGUGAGCGAUGAAGGCCUUAGGGUUGUAAAGCUCUUUCGUGGGGGAAGAUAAUGACUGUACCCCAAGAAGAAGCCCCGGCUAACUCCGUGCCAGCAGCCGCGGUAAUA
rnacentral:rRNA from 1 species